GUGCUCGCUUCAGCAGCACGUAUACUAAAAACUGAAAUGAUACAGAGGUUAGCAUGGCCCCUGUGCAAGGAUGACACACAUAUUCACGAAGUGUCCCAUUAAAAA